AACCCAUGAUGAGGGCACCUUCUCAAUAAGUCCUUGCAUCUCUCCCGUGUAUCAUAUAAAGUCUUUAAAUCGAUCUGCACAAAGGUAGAGAUGUCAUUCCUCAACUU
rfam:Gossypium hirsutum cultivar TM-1 chromosome 24, whole genome shotgun sequence